CAAUAUCUGAAACUGGUAAAACAAGAUCCACUAGAGCUCUUUCUCUGCAGAACUUUAGCAGCAUAAUAUGUAAGCAUCCAGAGAAACCCCUCAUAGUCUCAAGUUGUCUUAAGUUUUGAAAAAGGAUAAACAACACAAUGUACCUUGGUACUGAUAGUUCACAAAGUUAUUAAAGGCAUCAAAGGAAGCAUUAGAACUAGAUUUAGGAAGUGAGAAAAGUGAGGAUAAGUAUAUAUGAAUUUGUUGCAAGAAGAGAUCACCACAACUUUGCUAUCUCUGGUUUACCUGUGACAAGAAGUAGCAAAGCCUAGAUGCAAGAGGUAAGAAAAAAGUCUUUGAAAAGUAAGAAUGGCUAAUUCCUGGGGUAGAUUUUAAUUUUAUUUUAUUUUUUUUUAAUCUGGAGAAUAGUCCAACUUUGACUUAAGCUAUUUAAAGGGAGACUGAAUUGGCAGUUGUCAGUACUGAUUUGGAUGUGAAGCAGGAUACAGCUGAACCCUGCUUCCUAUAAGAAAUCCCAAGACAUAUAAACGGGUCCUCUUUAUGCCUUUUUCCUAUUACUUCUUAAGUCACUUUCUGUAGAAUUCUGCCAAGUUUGUAAGUAGGAAUGAGGAAAAGGAAUAGAAGCUGCGCUUCUGUUUCUACUGAAAGAUGAAAUAAAAAUUAUGAAUUAACUUUAUUGUUAAAAUAAAUAUGACUAUUUAUUUCAGGUAUUCUAUUCUACAGUUGUUCUGCAUGCUGAAUGGAAACCUUGCGCUGUUCUGAAGGGCUGGACCAGUUCCUUCUGGAGUCAUUAUAUUUCUCCUCUCAUGCCACCAGAUGGCUGGUUUAGGUGUAAUGACAGCAGCUGUUUGAGUCUACUUGCCAGCCUUGAGAUUCAACAACUCUGGAAUCACUUGGGUACACAGGAUUAAACAAAGACAAAAUUUAAACUUUUGUCUUCUAUAAUGUAGUAAUUUCAUACUGAUGAAUAAAGGAACUGACUUUGCAGUAAAUUAUUGGUCAACAUAUUUUUUUUUCUAAUAAUUUGGUUUGUGUUAUUUUCUGUAUUUGUACUUGCUCUACACUGUUAUUUCCUAGGUGUAUCUACAUAAAGACAAAAAAUUAAUCACAGAACACACUCUGGAUUUUCUUCCAAUGUUCAGACUACACUGAUUGAAGUAUUGAAUCCAUUUACAACACUGUCUUCCUGUAAAUAUUCCAUUCCAAUAGACUGCCAAAAGGAACUGCAAAAUACUUCUAAGGCAAUAACUUUCAUCUCUAACUUCACGCUUUCAUUGUGAACAUAGAUUCUACAGCAAGGAAGUAACACAGAUCUGGGACUGUGAGACUACAACAGCCUUUCUCUUGUGUAAUGUCAAUGUCGGCUAUCACUUUGGCAGAAUCAGCCAGCUCAGUGAAGACAGAAAACCCUUCCUUCCUCCUGUUUUUUCAUCUGCUGGUGGCAUUCAAAGUGGCCUUCCCUUAUAAAUAUUGGUGUAAUGUCUAUUCUUCUGAGAUGAGCUCUUAAUUAAUGCACAGAGAUCCUGAAAGUCCCACCUCUCAACAGUAAUGAUUGACAUCCAAGGAUACAUAAAUUACACUAAUUGAGCUUUCCAUUUAUACAGUUUUCUGCAGCCAACUCAUCAGAAAAGGUUAUGAAUUUCCUGUGCAAGACUACAGAAGCAAGCAAACUGGGAGUAUGGGAGCAGAGUGACUUAGAGUCCAGGCCUUUGUAUUUCUUCCAAUAAAAGUAUGAGGACAAAAUGAAACAAGACUUAAAUUUAGAAUUAGAAGAACAGAGAUAUAAGUGGAGGCUAGGGAAAAAAAGGGAAAUGAAGUGUAAGAAAAAUGGCGUUUGUAAAUGCCCUUCGUAUCUGGAAUAACUUCAUACUUUUAGGAUUAGUGCAAAACUAUUAGUAUGGGUGUUGGGUUUCUUUUUUAUGGGAAUGUAAUUUCAUCUUCCUUGUGAUAUAAUUUUUGUCCAAAGCAACCCGAUGCAAACUUUUAUGUUGCAUGAAUAGAGGCAUAACAGGUAUUAAGUAAUUUUUUUCUCUUUAUUACUGGGCACAUGGAAAGAACAUGCACUUUAAUUUGGUUACUUUGAGAAAGGUGAAUUGUUUAAAACCCAAAUGGUUUGGUAGAACCAAAAUGGUUUAAUUUGCUAA